AUACGGAGGGUGCAAGCGUUAUUCGAAAUCACUGGGCGUAAAGGACGCGUAGGCGGGUUGGCAAGUCAGAUGUGAAAUCCUACAGCUUAACUGUAGAACUGCAUUUGAAACUGCUAACCUAGAGUAUGGGAGGGGGAGAUGGAAUUAGUGGUGUAGGGGUAAAAUCCGUGGAUAUCACUAGGAAUACCGAAAGCGAAGGCGAUCUCCUGGAACAUAACUGACGCUAAGGCGUGAAAGCGUGGGGAGCAAACAGGAUUAGAAACCCUUGUAGUCC
rnacentral:rRNA from 1 species